rnacentral:rRNA from 1 species
UACGGAGGGUGCAAGCGUUAUCCGGAUUUACUGGGUUUAAAGGGUGCGCAGGCGGAUAUGUAAGUCAGUGGUGAAAUCUCCGGGCUUAACCCGGAAACUGCCGUUGAUACUAUAUAUCUUGAAUGCCGUGGAGGUAAGCGGAAUAUGUCAUGUAGCGGUGAAAUGCUUAGAUAUGACAUAGAACACCUAUUGCGAAGGCAGCUUACUACACGGAGAUUGACGCUCAUGCACGAAAGCGUGGGGAGCAAACAGG